CGCGAAUUCGCCCUUCGGGGUGCACAGGCGCGAAAACUCUACAAUGCAGGCAACUGCGAUAGGGGAACAUCGAGUGAUCCUCAUAUUGGGGGUCUGUCCCACCGUCUAAAAAACGGUGGUUAGCAAGGGCCGGGCAAGACCGGUGCCAGCCGCCGCGGUAAUACCGGCGGCUCGAGUGGUGGCCGAUAUUAUUGAGUCUAAAGGGUCCGUAGCUGGCUUUGCAAGUCUCUCGGGAAAUCCAGCGGCUUAACCGUUGGUCGUCCGGGGGGUACUACAUUGCUUGGGACUGGGAGAGGUAGGAGGUACUCAGGGGGUAGGAGUGAAAUCCUGUAAUCCUCUGGGGACCACCGGUGGCGAAGGCGUCCUACCAGAACAGGUCCGACGGUGAGGGACGAAAGCUAGGGGCACGAACCGGAUUAGAUACCCGGGUAGUCCUAGCCGUAAACGAUGCUCGCUAGGUGUCACAACAGUCGUGAACUGUUGUGGUGCCGUAGGGAAGCCGUGAAGCGAGCCACUUGGGAAGUACGACCGCAAGGUUGAAACUUAAAGGAAUUGGCGGGGGAGCAC
rnacentral:rRNA from 1 species